rnacentral:rRNA from 1 species
CAGUAGCCGCGGUAAUACGUAUGUCACGAGCGUUAUCCGGAUUUAUUGGGCGUAAAGCGCGUCUAGGUGGUUAUAUAAGUCUGAUGUGAAAAUGCAGGGCUCAACUCUGUAUUGCGUUGGAAACUGUAUAACUAGAGUACUGGAGAGGUAAGCGGAACUACAAGUGUAGAGGUGAAAUUCGUAGAUAUUUGUAGGAAUGCCGAUGGGGAAGCCAGCUUACUGGACAGAUACUGACGCUGAAGCGCGAAAGCGUGGGUAGCAAACAGGAUUAGAUACCCCCGUAGUCCCUGUCUCUUAUACA